CUUUAUCGCUUAAUUGAUCUUUAGCAAGUACGAUGACCGGAAAUUGACACGGCGAG
rnacentral:sRNA from 1 species